UCUAAUCCAUCCAGCCCCGACCACACUAGCCUCAACCCACUCCCCGCGCGGCGGCACCAACCAAAGCCCCGCCGGCGCCGGCCUGCCCACCGCCGCCUGCAUCCCGCCUAACGCCACCCCCAGCGAGCCACCACCCCUCCCUGUCCCGCACCCAAAAGCCCCAGCGACGCGCGCCGCCGCGGCGCCGCCCACCACCAGUAUCCCGCGCUGCUGUCGCCGACCACUAGGACCUCUUGCCGCCGCCCACCACCACCUGGAUGCCCCCCUCUGCGCACGGAUCCGGUCUUGCCCGAGCUCCCCCUGGGACGGAUGAACACAGGGCAGAGGCACCUGUGCUGGGAGGAGCAGAAUAGGGGCGCCGACACCAGGAAUAGCAAGUCGUGCCUCACCCGGCCACCUCCUCGCUUCUCCCUCCGCUGGAGCGUGCCGACGCCCCGUAUCCCACCGCCGGUGCCGCUCCUCAACUCUGGCGACGCCAAGAGCCUGCACCACCUCGGGUCUUUACCCACGCAGCCAGUGGCGGCUUCCUCUUCCUUCAGCCGCUCGCGCUCCUCCGUGGAGGACUCCCGUUGUCGCCUCUGCAACCCCUGCCUAAGGAUCCAUCGCACGUGACCUUCUCUGGUGUGUCUGAUCGACCUUCCCAUCGUCUCUUGCUUGAACGUCUGAAUUGCUGCUGCUCCUCCAUGUAAAUCUGCUGCUAGAUGAAGACCAUGUAAAUCUGAACAUUCUAAAUCCGCUGCACUACUAGGGUUGCUCUGUGUUGUGCCCUUUUGUUGGGUGAAGCUAUUCUUAUCUGCUAGCUUUGACAUAGGCUGCUACAUCAUUUGGAGCUUGGAAUCGAUUUCAUCAUCAGGUUAAAAAAAGAGUUUUUGAUGGCUCAGUUCAACAUAUUCACUUGCACUGGAAAUACAUGGGACUAGUGAUUUGUGGAAUUUGAGCUACAGAGAAUUGAGGUACUGCUUUGUUUCUGGGAUGAUUGCGCACCUUUACUGAAAACUCGACCUGCAUUACAAAAACCCCCACACGCCGCCGCCCCAUCCGCCGUCGCGACAAGCAUCCCUGGGAUUGCCACGACCUCGCACAUGCCAUGGGUGUGGCCCUAGAUGAGAUGCAGCUCCCCUUCGCCCGGCUCCAUCUCCCCACCAUUGUCAUGACACAUGAGUUCAGAUGUUAACUAGAAUGCUAGAGACGGAAUGCUAGAGACGGAUUUCUAGGAGCAACAACAGGGGCACCGCUGGAUGGCAGCAGCGUUCAUGCAGCCACAGCAGAGCACUAGGGAGUUGCAAAAAUCCAGAUCCUGGGUACUCCAUGUGGCCCGUUGCAGUCCGGAUUGGGGUGCAGGCGCCGUCCAAGUCCCAAUUCCCCGAUGAUGACCCAACACCAUCUCAGUCCAGCCCCGUAGCGCCAGGGAGGUCGAGGCCAUCGCGAGCAGAAGUCCCCAGCAGAAGGUGAGGGUGACAAACUUUGUCUUAUGUAUUUGUUGUGUCUCUCCUUUUUCUACCAGUCAGUUCGGUGACAUCUACCAGGAAGACUACUUCGUGAACCACAUGAAGAGUGAUGUGCAGGGGAAACAAGAAUUACGACCCCUCCAUCCCAUGCGAGCAGUAUGAAAGACAGGGAAGUUCAUCCUGGCAGACUAUGUGGCUCAGUGUGUAUGUUAAAUGAAGGAAAAAGAAAUAGCAGGUGUCCAGCAGCAUCAGUGUGUGGCUCCCCUAUAAUUCUUCUCUCUGUGUGUGUGCACACGCGCUGCACACGAGGAUAAGUACGAGGAAAAAUGGAGGCGUCCGGGCCAGGACCUGGCGGAGUAGAUUGGCCAGAGUAGUCGGGCAUGGCCAUGGCAUCCGACCGCAGACGGCGACGAAUCCGCAACGUUGUAGCUUGCUGCAGUCGGGUGCGUGCAUUCCGUUGGUGUGUCGCGUGAGUGGUCAGUGUGUGCGUUGUGCUAGUAGUAUGUCCCGUGAGUGGUGAGUGUGUGCGAUGUGCUAGUAGUAUGUGCUGAUGUGCAGGGUGCAUGCAUGUAUGAGUGCACAUGCGUGUUGUCACACACGAACUCAAAAAUGUUUCAGAUUUUGUAGCCAACUCGUGUGCACCACAGCUGUUCGUGUUUAUGACCCAAAAGGAGAAUAUUACAUUUAUACUAAGCAAGAAAAAAAUACAGAGACAUUUUAUCA